AGGUUGCACAUGCAGCCAUAGUUCUGGCAUUUCCUAACUUUGAGUGGUGGAUUUUUACAAACUUAAUAAGUUUGGUUUUUUUAAACAUUUUGCGUGUGUGUGUGUGUGUAUAAUAUAUUAAAUAAAGCAAGACUGAUUGACAAUCACAUCAGUUACUGCAAGUAGGAGGAAGUAAGCAUAAAUAUAAACUGGGAUAGUAAAUGUAAUAUUUAAUUUUACAGUCCACGUCUCCUCUAUACCAGUGAAUGUAGUGGUUUUGAAAAAUUCCAGAUUGACAGUACUGCAGCCUGAUGUAAUCUCUUUAUAGAUCAGUUCUAACACAGAUAGCAGCACUUCUAGUUUCUUCAUCUGUAUUCUGUAGAGAUCACCUCUGUAGGUAAGAUAAUAGAUCAUUUAUUGGUUUCUCUGUUAAGACUGCCAAUAAAGGUACAAAUAAUGGUGUUGUAAUAUGGUCAGCUAUGUAUUUGGAACUGGACUAAAACCAGCAACUCAUGUCAUGUAGGCCAUUGAAGAAUUGUCAGAUAGUAUCGAUAUAGUAGCUGGUCUGGAAUCAGAGCUGUGCUCUAAAGAUAUAACUCACAUUGGCUUGCAGGGUUAGUAAAGAGUAAAGCUACGAUUCUGUCACAGAGGUCAGAAUCCAUUACUUUCUGAGAUCUCCGUGACUACUUCCGCAGUGACAGGGCGGUAGCAGCUGUCAGCCCUGGGACCACCAGAGCAGCAGGCAGUGGUCAGCCCCGAAGCUGCUGGAGCAGUGGCCCCCGGGAUGCCAGAGCAGUUGCCGCCAGAGCACCGGCUCCAGGGCUGAAGCAGUGGCCAGGGUUGGGUCAUUCCCCCCUGGGGCUGGAGCAUCAGCGGUCAGCCCCUGAUGUAGUAGCAGGGCUGAAGUGCUCUGACUGUUUCCCUCCCCUGCCCCCCCAAUGUAUUUUUAGUAAAAAUCACAGACAUGUUGUGGGCUUCACUGAUUACAUGUAGGAAAUGCAGUAUAUUCCAUAAGGUGAAUUGUUACCUCAUAAAUGCUGUAAAUUGUGUUGAUAUUCUGGACUUACUGUUGCAGAUAUUUAUAUAAAACCCCAGAUCUGCAGUGAUUGGCAGCGUGUACAUGAGUGGAGAGCAUAACCUAGAAGGUUCAAUCCUGUUAAAAUCAGUGGCAUUACUUCCAGUGACUAUAGCAGGAACAUGUACAACUAUGUUCCAUGACUGUCUGAUGAAACUGAUUGUCCAUUAACAUUGUUGAUGCUGUGAACACCGCGAUCACCCUUGGAAUGAUGCAUUAGUUAGACAAUAGCUGUAAGUCACAUCUUUCAAUUUAAACUUUUCAUUUUAUAUCUAGCUGUCAUUGUUGAAACCUUGUGCAGCUGGUGGAAAGGACUAAAAACCAUUCUACCAAAGUUCUGUUCCUUUUUAUUGUAAUAAGUUCUAUGUGUCAUAUUUCAAAAUAUAUUUAAAUUGUAAUAUUGUGAAAGGUACUUUAUAAAAUAUUAAACUGAAGGCCUGAUCCUGUGAAGGGCUGGAUGUUCUCAAAUCCCACUGACCUUAAAAGGAGUCAAUGAGCAUUUUACAAUGAGGUGUUCAACACCUUGCAGGAUCAAG